AUGGCCAAGCCCGCAGAGGCAGAAGCGAUGGCUCCCCUUCGUGCCCUCCCGGAGGAGAUCGUGAUAUGGGAGAUUCUCGUCCGCCUGCCCCCUAAAGACCUCCUCCGCUGCCGCACCGUCUGCCGCGCCUGGCGCAGCAUCACCUCCACCCGCGACUUCCUCCUCGCCCAACAUGCCCGCCAGCCCGCCCUCCUCCUCCUCGACGACUGCACCAACUAUGCAAAAGGCAUCUCCGACCCGCUAAACAUCGUCUGCUUCGACCAUCGGGCAGGGGUGGCCACCCCCGACCAGCUCCAGCCCGUCGCCCGACUUACUAAGCAGUGCUCCUUUCAUCUAGAUGCCGCCUUGAUGAGGGUCGACUGCGGAGGCGACAAUAUCUCCUACUAUCAUCCGGUUGCCUCCUGCGAUGGCCUCCUCAUCCUCUGCGUCGAGGACAGCGGCUUCUUCAUCUGCAAUCCGGCCACUCGCCAGUAUGCUCGCCUCCCGUUCCCUUUGGGUCAUGUGUGGUGGCUCCUAGGAAUGUACCCUCACCCCCCUACCGACGAGUACAGACUAUUGCUCUACUCAUACAAGCGUAUCACAGACGAUGAGCGUCAAGAUGCGUGCCACGUCUUGGCAUUGGGCUCCGGCCAUCCACCGAGGCAUAUCGGGUUGCCAGAUGCAAUUAUGCUCGGAUUAGACGAGUAG
rnacentral:rRNA from 1 species